rnacentral:lncRNA from 1 species
UGAAAGUGAAAAAAAUUCACAAAAUCUCUCUUUCGCUCUCGCUUUUCCUUCAUUUAGGAAGAAAUGAAUUUGUUAACUGUUCAACUAUUGUCUUUCUCUCUCUUUGACUCAACUACUCACCACAUUUUAUGCACUGCAGCUCUAGCUAGCUGUAGCUUAUGCUUUCUGUACUAGAUUUAUUCUCUGAUCCUUUGAUUGGGUGGACAACGUUUAAGUUCAUGUGCAAGAGCUCUGAUCGGUUAGAGGAUGUCCUUCGGAAGUUGUCAUCAUAAUUACUGUAGCCCAGGACCUGUCAUCCAGUGAAGAUAUAACAGUUCAGGUUGACAAGGAGGUCUGCCACCAGAUGAGCUCUGUCUUCAAGGAGCUUAUCGCUCGACAAUCAUUCCCUCCUCCAUCCUCCUCCACCCCCUCGGUCACCUCAUCCCGCUCUUCCCAACCUCCUCCAGAGCAAAAGAAAGGAGGGGUUGGGCGCAGAAGGGAAAGACCUGUUUAGAUCUGACCAACUGGACUGGUAAAAAGAGAGAGGGGACCAGAAUGAAUUAAUGGCUAGAUGGAUGAAUACAUGAAUGAGAGGGAAGGAAAGGAAGGAGAGAGACGAAAGAGACGAGAGACGAGAUGACACCGUGUAGGAUGACAGGUUGCGACAGCAGCCUUUGACAGUGGGAUUACAGAUGGCUGGGUUACAUGAACCGCAGUCAGUUCACUGUAGUGUAUGAGUCUGCUCAGACAGCAGCCUUCAUUGUGAAGCCUGUGAAUGGACAGUCACAGACAAAAGGGUUUGACUCCUACUGUGAAGACUUUUGUUAGUGUGUUUGAUACAACACACCCCAAUGACCCCCACUCUGAUUUUCACUGUAGGGCUGUGUCCCCAUUCUCCACACUUUUCCCAAAGUGUGCACUUGCACACUCCCCACCAUGGAUUUGAAAAGCAUUGGAUUGUAAUCAUUAACCUCUAUGGGCUAGGUGGGACGCAAGCGUCCCACCCGUGGUGCACUCCAUCAACAGCAGGUGCAUUUCAAGAGCGGCAAAUUUGAAUCCAAAUAAAUGUCAAAAUUCAAAUUUUUCAAAAAUACAACUAUUUUACACCCUUUGAAAGAUAAACAUCUCCUUAAUCUAACCACGUUUUACGAUUUCAAAAAGGUUUUACGGCGAAAGCAUAAAUUUAGAGUAUGUUAGGACAGUACAUUUACAAGAGUUGUGUGUAAUGUUGUGCCAAUUCAAAGACAG